GAACGCACAUCGCGCCCAAUGGUAUUCCAUUGGGCAUACCUGUUUGAGUAUCAGAAUCCUUUCAAUUAUCAAACUUUUACAUAUAGAGAUAUAUGUAAAGAUGUUUGGAAUACAAUUGAGAAAAGUAGUAUUCCUUAUGGUAUUGCUUUCUUAAAAACUAGAAAUACUAUGUUUUGAUUUUUCUUCAGCUCAUUUUGUAUAUCAUUUAACAAAUGAGUACGAGUAAAAAUAUACAAUACUUUGGAUGACCUCAAAUCAGGUAGGGAUACCCGCUGAACUUAAG
rnacentral:misc_RNA from 1 species